AAAGGAGGGGACGCGACGAGGCGCUCGGGCGACUUCUGGCCACUAGCUGAGUGGCCUCUUUUGUUUGCCUAAUUCCUCAGCAGUUUCUGAGCCUGAAGCUGACCCAGAUCUGAGUCCAAGGACCCCCGGCCAAAGGUAACCCCGCGGUAACCGGUCCCCGCACGCGGGACGUGGACCCCCACCCUUCGCGUGCACGCACACACUCAACAGGAGUUUGGAGAGUGAGCUCUGGAGAGCAGAUGGCCCGGCCGACUGUCCGUCCUCCGCUCUGCCCCGCGGGGUCCCGCCGGUGGGCGGCGGGCUGCGCCCCCAGCCCGCCUUCCUCUCCAGCGUUCGCAGCCCCUCUGCGCCGCCAGUGAGAAGCCAGCUCCAAAACAACAACAAAAAAGGCGAUUCCGGGAGGUGGCGUCCCGAGGAAGGAGGGAAUAGCCGACGGCGGGGAGUCACCCUCACUCACUUGCGCUGAGAUCUGGAUGCGAGAGAGAAAGGAGACGGUCGGGGAAUAGGGCCAGCCUGUCCGCCCUGGCUGGGAGACACCUCUCACCACGAGGGGCUUAAGCGCCGAGCGACGGAGCUCUGCGGCCGCCGCCUCGCCUCCUCGCCUCCUCGCCUCCUGGGCUCCGUCACCCUCCUGCCUUUUCCGCGACGCAAGUGAGGCAAACUCCUAAAGUUUGUGAAGUGCGGUGCUUACAAGGAGGGCGCCAGAGCCGGGACCCCGGAGAGAGGGUGGAGGAAGGGCGUGGAGACCCGCAGACGCCCCCCUCCCGUUCCUCUGCCCCCCUCUCGUUCCCCUGCCCCCCUCUCGUUCCCCUGCCCCCCACCCCAGCUCCGGGGAGGGGAACGGGGCCGUGGCGCCGCCCGGGGAUUGCUCUCUGGAGGGGGCCCCAGAGCCAGCGGCGCCCUCAUGGAAGAAGCCUGAGAAGGUUUGGAUAGUUUAGAUACGGGCUGCUGCGGGUCCUAGUACCCUAGCCCAGACAAGGCCAGGAGCAACCCUGUCUUGGGCGACUUCCUUCGGGGCGGGGGAAGACAAGACUCUACAUCUGUAGCGACGGUAACAAGACCCGGCAGGAUCGGGUUCCGUGUCGCUUCGUGCGGCGGCCGGCGGAAACUGGAUGUCCUGUCUUUGCCGGCAGCACCCAGGAGAGAGGAGUGGUCGGGGUAGGGUUCCGGGAAGAGGUAAAGGGGACUUGACCCUGGGCAUUGAUUCUGCCAGGCACUGUGCUGGGCACUGGAGAUUACAGUACAACAAGGCAGUCGGAGAGUUUGACACCCUCUUGUCAAAUGACAAGUCCACCCUCUUGUUCUCCAUUCUUUCAUUCUGUCUCUCAUUCAUCCAACCUUCCACUCAAGGAAACAUUAACUGAGUAUUCUGUACCAGGCCCCUUGGUUUACAAAGACGAAUAAGGCAUUGUCCUUACCUACCAGAAGCUCAGAUGUGUCAGGACAAGUAAAGAGAUGUUCCCUGCCCGGUGAGACCAGUGCCAUGAAAUGUGAAUGGGAGGGCACCUAUUCCAGCCUGGGUUGAGCAAGGAUCAAGGAAGGCUUUCUGGAGGAGGAUGUACCUACGGUGAAGCAAAGGCUUUGGGCCCUACUCCCCUUCCUGGCUAAGCCCUGGAGCCUUGUCUACCGCUCUAACUAGAACUUCCUUCCCCCUCAUUCUCAUUCCUCCCACUUGUUGCAGAUUAACUGGCACAAGGUAGCACUAUAAAGGUGGGCACCUUAGACUGUUUUGAGGGGUGUAAUUUGCAUGCCUCUGGCUCCAAAAACCAAUUUCACUGGAGCAGUGAGUAGAUCCAAUUCCCUAGGCAGAGCUGGCAUUUGGCCGGGAUACAGGCUUAUAUCCAAACCCCAGAAGCCCAAGUAUUAACUUACACAGAGAAAUUCAACUGUCAGGCAGACCCAAAUAUUUGUAUCAAUAGAUCAAGGCAGUUUGGGCUGCUUCUUAGGAAGCCCAGUUACCAGAAGUUUAGCGCAGGGAACCUGGAAACCCCAAGAGGGGAAGAAAGGAUGGUAUAAGUCUCUCAGCCAAGAAGCCUUGAGAUCUUGUCCCCCGCCAUAGGGGCAGUCUUGAUUCUAAGGACUCAGUUCAGCCUAGUAUCUUCAGGACCAGAGCCUGAAUAUGUUUCCCCAGCUGCUUUGGGGGCACCCCUUUUCUUUGAUCUUCUGUUCGCAGAGCCUGUCUCCAAGCUGGAUUUAAGAGUAGCAGCUACUUCCUUAGUGCUUGCUGAGUGCUAGACUCCUGUAAACAUUUUACCUUUAUUAGCUCACUUAAUACAAUUGAUGGGAUCUCUGCUCACCCAGCUAGGGGCCUAGUGUAGCCCCACCCCACUGAGGGGCCCCCAGCCACCACCCUGGUGGUCUUUAGUUGGUUCGCAAAUACUUCAGUCACAUGUUUAUGCACAUUUACACCUGGGAUUUACUCUCAUAUCUGUUCAGGGACGGAGGGAGGGUGGUUUCUAUCUCACAGUGGCCACCUUAUUUCCAGGUUCUUAGGGGAAACUCAUUCUGCAGCUUCACAGAGAUUUCCAGAACCUAUAUCUUCUACUUCCAACCCUCUUCAAAUCUCUGGGUAACAGGGCCCACAGUUACUAAUCUCAGGCAACUGCACUAACUUUUGUGGUUCCCUACACCCUGCCCAUGCCUUUGGAAAAAGUCCCUUUAUUAAAUUCUCCUCACAUUACUCU
rnacentral:lncRNA from 1 species